UAUACUUAGUGGCGACGGGUGAGUAACGCGUGGGCAACCUGCCCCGUNCCGGGGGAUACCGCCUGGAACAGGCGCUAAUACCGCAUAAGCGCAUACAGCCGCAUGGGUGUAUGCGGAAAGCUCCGGCGGCACGGGAUGGGCCCGCGCCCGAUUAGCCAGUUAGCGGGGUAACGGCCCACCAAAGCGACGAUCGGUAGCCGGCCUGAGAGGGCGGACGGCCACAUUGGGACUGAGACACGGCCCAAACUCCUACGGAAGGCAGCAG
rnacentral:rRNA from 1 species